CAGCAACUGAACUAAGGCAUCGUGCCCUCCAAGUCAAAUCUGAAGGCUUUGGCAGAGCCGGAUUUGAUCUUCACAGCAGACAAGUCGUCCCGCUCUUGACUCACCAUAAGCACAAAGUCAGAGGAAACAAAAGAAAAAUACUGGAAGUUUCCACUAAAGAAAAAAGGCUCGACUAUGACCAGACAUCCCAAGAAUACUUCACCAACGCUGCAUUUGCAUAGUUGUGCACGGACACAAGGCUGACCUGCUGAGGCUGGUGAAGAUGUGCAACACCCUCACCUCCUGGACCAGGUCAACACACGUCUGUCAGCCUACCCUGUCCUGGAAUCUCACAUGUGCUCUGCAGAACGAGAAAACAGGCAGAAGAGGCUGGAACUCCACUGCUGUUCUCCUGUUGCACAAAGAAGGCUUUGUGUGAAACAAAAAUGAUUUCCUUUAGUGAGGUAGAGCUUAACAAGAACAGAAAAUAUGUAUUUUUUAAAAUCUGAAAAUUAACUAUCUUGUCCUGUAGGAGUAGUACAGCUUGGACUCUCUGAUCCUCUUCUUUAAGAGUCUUCACGCAUACUAGAACAUGUUUAUUGAAAAUACUUCCUCGCUUGCAGUGUAAGUCCUCAGCCAUCUGGAACCAGUCCUGUUCCAAAGCCCAUGCACUUGCACUUGAGUAGAGAGCAGGCACUACCUUGAGGAUCCACCACAGUAAAUGAUCUCAGUUCUAAUGGGAAGACAUUUUCAGAACCAGAUUUCCUACUGCUCUGAAAUGCAGAAAAUAAAGCUUAGCACCCAUAAAAAUUCUUUCUCAAUUAAAAAUAAACCACUAUAU